UAGAGUUUGAUCCUGGCUCAGAGUGAACGCUGGCGGCGUGCUUAACACAUGCAAGUCGAACGAGAAACGGUCUAGCUUGCUAGAUGCAGUCUAAGUGGCGGACGGGUGAGUAAUGUAUAGCUAAUGUGCCCCUUGGAGAGGGAUAACAGUUAGAAAUGACUGCUAAUACCUCAUACUCCUUAUGCCUUAAUGGUAUAAGGGAAAUGUUUUUUCGCCAAGGGAUCAGGCUAUAUGGUAUCAGCUAGUUGGUGAGGUAACGGCUCACCAAGGCAAUGACGCCUAACUGGUCUGAGAGGAUGAUCAGUCACACUGGAACUGAGACACGGUCCAGACUCCUACGGGAGGCAGCAGUGGGGAAUAUUACACAAUGGAGGAAACUCUGAUGUAGCAACGCCGCGUGGAGGAUGACACAUUUCGGUGCGUAAACUCCUUUUAUAUGGGAAGAUAAUGACGGUACCAUAUGAAUAAGCACCGGCUAACUGCCGUGCCAGCAGCCGCGGUAA
rnacentral:rRNA from 1 species